rnacentral:rRNA from 1 species
GUAGUCCACGCCGUAAACGAUGAGUGCUAGAAGUCGGUUGUAUUAUCGGUUUCGUAGCUAACGCAUUAAGCACUCCGCCUGGGGAGUACGGUCGCAAGACUAAAACUCAAAGGAAUUGACGGGGACUCGCACAAGCGGUGGAGCAUGUGGUUUAAUUCGAUGCAACGCGAAGAACCUUACCACACCUUGACAUGUCGAUCGUAUCUCUCCGAAGGGAGGGAGUCAGUUAGGCUGGAUCGAACACAGGUGUUGCAUGGCCGUCGUCAGCUCGUGUCGUGAGAUGUUGGGUUAAGUCCCGCAACGAGCGCAACCCUCAUCCUUAGUUGCCAGCGGGUAAUGCCGGGAACUUUAGGGAAACUGCCAGUGAUAAAUUGGA